rnacentral:rRNA from 1 species
GGGGAAUCUUCCGCAAUGGGCGAAAGCCUGACGGAGCAACGCCGCGUGAGGGAUGAAGGCCUCUGGGCUGUAAACCUCUUUUAUCAAGGAAGAAGAUCUGACGGUACUUGAUGAAUAAGCCACGGCUAAUUCCGUGCCAGCAGCCGCGGUAAUACGGGAGUGGCAAGCGUUAUCCGGAAUUAUUGGGCGUAAAGCGUCCGCAGGCGGCCCAACAAGUCUGCUGUUAGAAAGUGGAGCUUAACUCCAUCAUGGCAGUGGAAACUGUUGGGCUAGAGUGUGGUAGGAGCAGAGGGAAUUCCCGGUGUAGCGGUGAAAUGCGUAGAUAUCGGGAAGAACACCAGUGGCGAAGGCGCUCUGCUGGGCCAUCACUGACGCUCAUGGACGAAAGCCAGGGGAGCGAAAGGGAUUAGAUACCCCAGUAGUC